UUUUUCCUUUUCCUUUUAUUGUUUUUGGCUCUUAAAUCAAUUGUACAUUUAACUUAAUUAUUUGUUAUGUUUCUUUUUUCUUCUUUUUUUCAUAACAUACAGUGAAUGUUAUGACAUAAUGAUCCUAAUUCUUUCCCCGUUACGACAUAAUGAUUUCUAAUAUUUAUGUUUAAAUCUCUAGUUGACUACAUACAGUUGUAGCUACCAGAUUCAAUAGUCUGAGAAAAUAUCAUCCUGAAAUGCGAAAUAGUUGAAAGUGGUGUGAAUUGUUGUUGAGAAAAUGAUCCUCAACUCAAGUUAGUGAGUGACUCUGCUUCUAAAGUCAUUUCUUUUUCCCUUGAGACAAGUGUUGGUGUGGAGAGUUGAUUGAAGAAAAGGUGUCCCUUCCCUACAGCCUACAGCCUGCAGCCUACAGCCUACAGGUAGGGUCUAUCGUUAUUUUGGCAUAAUUUCGAGGUGGGUUUUUUAUUUGUUACCUGAAGGAGCGUUUUUUAUAAUGGGAACAAACAGAGUCCAGAUUGGCAUCUGAACAAGUAGAACCUGUUAAGGACCUCCACAAGUUGCACCAAUGGAUUGAAAAUCAAGGCUUGAUACAGACUGCAGGGACAAAUGCUCCAAGGCCAAAUGGUGGAGCUCUUGAAUUUUUUUGAAUUUGUUGUUGUUGGAGAUGAAUGUGAUGGAGCGAAACCAUUUCCUGACCCUUUCGCAUUUGAGGAUUCUGUUUCAGGGGUGAAAGCUGGAGUAGCAGCUGGAAUGCCAGUAGUGGCCUUCGUUAUUGAAGAGACUUUGAGGACCCAAAAUUGUGGGAAGCACUGGAAGAGAUUGAGAGGAAGGCGGAGUAACAACAGUUGCAACUUGAAAUGGCAAUCACAUAAGCUUUUCUAUUUCUGUUCCUGUACUGCUUAGUCAUUCGGACACCCCCAGUGGAAUUUAUUUGUUCGUUGUAAAUUUUGAGAUAAUACGCUUAAUUAGUGAAAUUGAGGGCCAUAACGAGAAAAUUUUUCAAAUGUGAAAUUGAUUGUUUGGAAUUGGCAAGCAGCAAGGUGGGAUGGGAUUAUAUUUAGUUGCAGGUCCUGGUGGUUAAAGUAAAUUCACAAUGUAAGUUUCUUGUAAAAUUCAGGAAUUUGAUAAUAAUUAAGAUCCUCGUGAUAAACCGCUCAUUUA